AGAGUUUGAUCAUGGCUCAGAUUGAACGCUGGCGGCAGGCCUAACACAUGCAAGUCGAGCGGUAGCACAGAAGAGCUUGCUCUUUGGGUGACGAGCGGCGGACGGGUGAGUAAUGUCUGGGAAACUGCCUGAUGGAGGGGGAUAACUACUGGAAACGGUAGCUAAUACCGCAUAACCUCGCAAGAGCAAAGAGGGGGACCUUAGGGCCUCUCGCCAUCAGAUGUGCCCAGAUGGGAUUAGCUAGUAGGUGAGGUAAUGGCUCACCUAGGCGACGAUCCCUAGCUGGUCUGAGAGGAUGACCAGCCACACUGGAACUGAGACACGGUCCAGACUCCUACGGGAGGCAGCAGUGGGGAAUAUUGCACAAUGGGCGCAAGCCUGAUGCAGCCAUGCCGCGUGUGUGAAGAAGGCCUUCGGGUUGUAAAGCACUUUCAGCGAGGAGGAAGGCGAUAAGGUUAAUAACCUUGUCGAUUGACGUUACUCGCAGAAGAAGCACCGGCUAACUCCGUGCCAGCAGCCGCGGUAAUACGGAGGGUGCAAGCGUUAAUCGGAAUGACUGGGCGUAAAGCGCACGCAGGCGGUCUGUUAAGUUGGAUGUGAAAUCCCCGGGCUUAACCUGGGAACUGCAUUCAAAACUGACAGGCUAGAGUCUUGUAGAGGGGGGUAGAAUUCCAGGUGUAGCGGUGAAAUGCGUAGAGAUCUGGAGGAAUACCGGUGGCGAAGGCGGCCCCCUGGACAAAGACUGACGCUCAGGUGCGAAAGCGUGGGGAGCAAACAGGAUUAGAUACCCUGGUAGUCCACGCUGUAAACGAUGUCGAUUUGGAGGUUGUGCCCUUGAGGCGUGGCUUCCGGAGCUAACGCGUUAAAUCGACCGCCUGGGGAGUACGGCCGCAAGGUUAAAACUCAAAUGAAUUGACGGGGGCCCGCACAAGCGGUGGAGCAUGUGGUUUAAUUCGAUGCAACGCGAAGAACCUUACCUACUCUUGACAUCCAGAGAACUUUCCAGAGAUGGAUUGGUGCCUUCGGGAACUCUGAGACAGGUGCUGCAUGGCUGUCGUCAGCUCGUGUUGUGAAAUGUUGGGUUAAGUCCCGCAACGAGCGCAACCCUUAUCCUUUGUUGCCAGCGAUUCGGUCGGGAACUCAAAGGAGACUGCCGGUGAUAAACCGGAGGAAGGUGGGGAUGACGUCAAGUCAUCAUGGCCCUUACGAGUAGGGCUACACACGUGCUACAAUGGCGUAUACAAAGAGAAGCGACCUCGCGAGAGCAAGCGGACCUCAUAAAGUACGUCGUAGUCCGGAUUGGAGUCUGCAACUCGACUCCAUGAAGUCGGAAUCGCUAGUAAUCGUAGAUCAGAAUGCUACGGUGAAUACGUUCCCGGGCCUUGUACACACCGCCCGUCACACCAUGGGAGUGGGUUGCAAAAGAAGUAGGUAGCUUAACCUUCGGGAGGGCGCUUACCACUUUGUGAUUCAUGACUGGGGUGAAGUCGUAACAAGGUAACCGUAGGGGAACCUGCGGUUGGAUCACCU
rnacentral:rRNA from 1 species